rnacentral:rRNA from 1 species
GACGUAGGGCGCGAGCGUUGUCCGGAUUUAUUGGGCGUAAAGAGCUCGUAGGCGGUUUGUCGCGUCUGCCGUGAAAGUCCGGGGCUCAACUCCGGAUCUGCGGUGGGUACGGGCAGACUAGAGUGAUGUAGGGGAGACUGGAAUUCCUGGUGUAGCGGUGAAAUGCGCAGAUAUCAGGAGGAACACCAGUGGCGAAGGCGACUUCCUGGCCUGUUCUUGACGCUGAGGCGCGAAAGCUAGGGGAGCAAACGGG